UACGGGGGGAGCAAGCGUUGUUCGGAUUUACUGGGCGUAAAGGGCGCGUAGGCGGUAGCACAAGUCAGUUGUGAAAUCUCCGGGCUUAACUCGGAAAGGUCAACUGAUACUGUGCGACUAGAGUGCAGAAGGGGCAACUGGAAUUCUCGGUGUAGCGGUGAAAUGCGUAGAUAUCGAGAGGAACACCUGCGGCGAAGGCGCCACUCUGGGCCGGUACUGACGCUGAGACGCGAAAGCGUGGGGAGCGAACAGG
rnacentral:rRNA from 1 species